rnacentral:rRNA from 1 species
AGCGAACGCUGGCGGCAGGCUUAACACAUGCAAGUCGAACGGUCCUUCGGGAUAGUGGCGGACGGGUGAGUAACACGUGGGAACGUACCCUUAGGUUCGGAACAACACAGGGAAACUUGUGCUAAUACCGGAUAAGCCCUUCGGGGGAAAGAUUUAUCGCCUUUGGGGCGGCUCGCGUCUGAUUAGCUUGUUGGUGAGGUAAUGGCUCACCAAGGCUACGAUCAGUAGCUGGUCUGAGAGGAUGGCCAGCCACACUGGGACUGGGACACGGCCCAGACUCCUACGGGAGGCAGCAGUGGGGAAUCUUGCGCAAUGGGCGAAAGCCUGACGCAGCCAUGCCGCGUGGAUGAUGAAGGUCUUAGGAUUGUAAAAUCCUUUCACCGGGGACGAUAAUGACGGUACCCGGAGAAGAAGCCCCGGCUAACUUCGUGCCAGCAGCCGCCGCCG